rnacentral:rRNA from 1 species
GGUUCGAUUAUGGCUCAGAUUGAACGCUGGCGGGAUGCUUUACACAUGCAAGUCGAACGGCAGCACGGACUUCGGUCUGGUGGCGAGUGGCGAACGGGUGGUGUGUAUCGGAACGUGCCUAGUAGCGGGGGAUAACUACGCGAAAGCGUAGCUAAUACCGCAUACGCCCUUCGAAGGAAAGCGGGGACCUUCGGGCCUCGCACUAUUAGAGCGGCCGAUAUCGGAUUAGCUAGUUGGUGGGGUAACGGCUCACCAAGGCGACGAUCCGUAGCUGGUUUGAGAGGACGACCAGCCACACUGGGACUGGAGACACGGCCCAGACUCCUACGGGGAGGGCAGCAGUGGGAAUUUUGGACAAUGGGGAAACCCUGAUCCAGCCAUCCCGCGUGUGCGAUGAAGGCCUUCGGGUUGUAAAGCACUUUUGGCAGGAAAGAAGCAGCUGCAGGAUAAUACCCCGUGCAACUGACGGUACCUGCAGAAUAAGCACCGGCUAACUACGUGUCAGCAGCCGCGGUAAUACGUAGGGUGCAGGCGUUAAUCGGAAUUACUGGGCGUAAAGCGUGCGCAGGCGGUUCGGAAAGAUGUGAAAUCCCAGAGCUUAACUUUGGAACUGCAUUUUUAACUACCGAGCUAGAGAGUGUGUCAGAGGAGGUGGAAUUCCGCGUGUAGCAGUGAAAUGCGUAGAUAUGCGGAGGAACACCCACCGAUGGCGAAAACAGCCUCCUGGGAUAACACUGACGCUCAUGCACGAAAGCGUGGGGAGCAAGCAAGGAUUAGAUACCCUGGUAGUCCACGCCUAAACGAUGUCAACUAGCUGUUGGGGCCUUCGGGCCUUGGUAGCGCAACUAACGCGUGAAGUUGACCGCCUGGGGAGUACGGUCGCAAGAUUAAAACUCAAGGAAUUGACGGGGACCCGCACAAGCGGUGGAUGAUGUGGAUUAAUUCGAUGCAACGCGAAAAACCUUACCUACCCUUGACAUGUCUGGAAUCCCGAAGAGAUUUGGGAGUGCUCGCAAGAGAACCGGAACACAGGUGCUGCAUGGCUGUCGUCAGCUCGUGUCGUGAGAUGUUGGGUUAAGUCCCGCAACGAGCGCAACCCUUGUCAUUAGUUGCUACGAAAGGGCACUCUAAUGAGACUGCCGGUGACAAACCGGAGGAAGGUGGGGAUGACGUCAAGUCCUCAUGGCCCUUAUGGGUAGGGCUUCACACGUCAUACAAUGGUCGGGACAGAGGGUCGCCAACCCGCGAGGGGGAGCCAAUCCCGAAACCCGAUCGUAGUCCGGAUCGCAGUCUGCAACUCGACUGCGUGAAGUCGGAAUCGCUAGUAAUCGCGGAUCAGCAUGUCGCGGUGAAUACGUUCCCGGGUCUUGUACACACCGCCCGUCACACCAUGGGAGUGGGUUUUACCAGAAGUAGUUAGCCUAACCGUAAGGAGGGCGAUUACCACGGUAGGAUUCAUGACUGGGGUGAAGUCGUAACAAAGGUAG